rnacentral:rRNA from 1 species
UUAUGGGUAGGGCUUCACACGUCAUACAAUGGUGCAUACAGAGGGUUGCCAACCCGCGAGGGGGAGCUAAUCUCAGAAAAUGCAUCGUAGUCCGGAUCGUAGUCUGCAACUCGACUACGUGAAGCUGGAAUCGCUAGUAAUCGCGGAUCAGAAUGUCGCGGUGAAUACGUUCCCGGGUCUUGUACACACCGCCCGUCAUACCAUGGGAGUGGGUUUUGCCAGAAGCCGUUAGCCUAACCGCAAGG